GUUCACCAACCAUAUUAAGUGAAGUGAAAGAGCAAUCUAUGCCGCAUCCCUCAAGAAGGCUCCACUUGUUACAUCAGUAUGUACAAGCUGUUGCAGAAGUAGCCCAGGAAAAGUACAAUGCAGGACUAUUUCUGGAAUCAUUUUCCGUUGAGCUUGUUGUUUUGGCCAUAUGGAAGAAAGCUCUUCAAAUAUUCAGCUCCUGGGUGGCCUCAACUGCAGGAAGUAAAUCGCCCGAAAGCAGUUCGGCUAAUGAAUCUACUUCUGUUCAUGGUGGCAUAAGAGACAAAAUAGAUUUUGGCAGGCCUUCGUCUGCCUGCAAGUGGGCAGAGCAAGAAUUUGUUGCUGCAU
rnacentral:misc_RNA from 1 species